CGGGCACAGAGGGAAGCCAGGUGGCGACACCGCGCGGAACCCGAAAGCCGUUCUCAGUUCGGAUCGGAGUCUGCAACCCGACUCCGUGAAGCUGGAUUCGCUAGUAAUCGCGAAUCAGAAUGUCGCGGUGAAUACGUUCCCGGGUCUUGUACACGCCGCCCGUCACACCAUGGGAGUUGGAAAUGCCCGAAGUCAGUGACCCAACCGCAAGGAGGGAGCUGCCGAAGGCAGGUUCGAUAACUGGGGUGAAGUCGUAACAAGGUACC
rnacentral:rRNA from 1 species